UUGCCUACGGGAGGCAGCAGUGAGGAAUAUUGGUCAAUGGGCGCGAGCCUGAACCAGCCAAGUCGCGUGAGGGAUGACGGCCCUACGGGUUGUAAACCUCUUUUGUCGGGGAGCAAAUUCGGCCACGUGUGGCGGAGUCGAGAGUACCCGAAGAAAAAGCAUCGGCUAACUCCGUGCCAGCAGCCGCGGUAAUACGGAGGAUGCGAGCGUUAUCCGGACUUAUUGGGUUUAAAGGGUGCGUAGGCGGACUGUGAAGCCAG
rnacentral:rRNA from 1 species